CUCUCCUUCUCUUGUUCAUUCUCUCUCUCUCUUGUUCAUUCUCUCUCUCUCUCUCCUUCUCUUGUUCAUUCUCUCUCUCUCUCUCUUGUUCAUUCUCUCUCUCUCCUCUUGUUCAUUCUCUCUCUCUCUCUCCUUCUCUUGUUCAUUCUCUCUCUCUCUCUCUUUCUCUUGUUCAUUCUCUCUCUCUCUCCUUCUCUUGUUCAUUCUCUCUCUCUCCUUCUCUUGUUCAUUCUCUCUCUCUCUCUCCUUCUCUUGUUCAUUCUCUCUCUCUCUCCUUCUCUUGUUCACUCUCUCUCUCUCUCCUUCUCUUGUUCAUUCUCUCUCUCUCCUUCUCUUGUUCAUUCUCUCUCUCUCCUUCUCUUGUUCAUUCUCUCUCUCUCUUUCCUUCUCUUGUUCAUUCUCUCUCUCUCUCUCUUGUUCACUCUCUCUCUCUCCUUCUCUUGUUCAUUCUCUCUCUCUCUCUCCUUCUCUUGUUCAUUCUCUCUCUCUCUCUCCUUCUCUUGUUCAUUCUCUCUCUCUCUUGUUCUCUCUCUCUCUCCUUCUCUUGUUCAUUCUCUCUCUCCUUCUCUUGUUCAUUCUCUCUCUCUCUCCUUCUCUUGUUCAUUCUCUCUCUCUCCUUCUCUUGUUCAUUCUCUCUCUCUCUCCUUCUCUUGUUCAUUCUCUCUCUCUCUCCUUCUCUUGUUCAUUCUCUCUCUCUUGUUCACUCUCUCUCUCUCUCCUUCUCUUGUUCAUUCUCUCUCUCUCUCUCCUUCUCUUGUUCAUUCUCUCUCUCUCUCCUUCUCUUGUUCAUUCUCUCUCUCCUUCUCUUGUUCUCUCUCUCUCCUUCUCUUGUUCAUUCUCUCUCUCUCUCCUUCUCUUGUUCAUUCUCUCUCUCCUUCUCUUGUUCUCUCUCUCUCUCUCCUUCUCUUGUUCAUUCUCUCUCUCUCUUCUUCUCUUGUUCAUUCUCUCUCUCUCCCUCUCCUUCACUCACCCAUUCUUUCGCUCUUCCUCUGCCUCCUUCUCCACCUCUCUGUUCGUCCCACACUGUCCUGAAGUGUUGAGGUGCCUCAGAGCAACACACAUAUCCAUAAAAAAACACAUUCUCACACACUUAUCCACAAACACACACACACACAUACACACACACACACACAC
rnacentral:lncRNA from 1 species